rnacentral:rRNA from 1 species
CAAUACUUAGUGGCAGACGGGUGAGUAACAUGUGGGUAUCUGCCCUUUGGCCUGGAAUAACACGAGGAAACUUGUGCUAAUACCGGAUAAGUCUUUACGGAGAAAGCUUUAUGCACCAUUGGAUGAGCCCGCACUUGAUUAGUUUGUUGGUGGGGUAAUGGCCUACCAAGACUGUGAUCAAUAGCUGAUUUGAGAGGAUGAUCAGCCACAUUGGGACUGAGACACGGCCCAAACUCCUACGGGAGGCAGCAGUGGGGAAUCUUGCACAAUGGAGGAAACUCUGAUGCAGCGAUGCCGCGUGAGUGAAGAAGGCCUUUGGGUUGUAAAGCUCUUUCGUCGGGGAAGAAAAUGACUGUACCCGAAUAAGAAGGUCCGGCUAACUUCGUGCCAGCAGCCGCGGUAAUACGAAGGGACCUAGCGUAGUUCGGAAUUACUGGGCUUAAAGAGUUCGUAGGUGGUUGAAAGAGUUGGUGGUGAAAUCCCAGAGCUUAACUCUGGAACUGCCAUCAAAACUUUUCAGCUAGAGUUUGAUAGAGGAAAGCAGAAUUUCUAGUGUAGAGGUGAAAUUCGUAGAUAUUAGAAAGAAUACCAAUUGCGAAGGCAGCUUUCUGGAUCAUUACUGACACUGAGGAACGAAAGCAUGGGUAGCGAAGAGGAUUAGAUACCCUCGUAGUCCAUGCCGUAAACGAUGUGUGUUAGACGUUGGAAAUUUAUUUUCAGUGUCGCAGCGAAA